rnacentral:rRNA from 1 species
CCUUCCUUGUUUCCCCCGCCUAUAUACCGCCGUCGUCAGCUUACCCUGUGAAGGACUUAUAGUAAGCAAAAUUGGUACAACCCUAAACGUCAGGUCGAGGUGUAGCGUACGGAAGGGGAAGAAAUGGGCUACAUUCUCUAACAUAGAGAAAACGAAUGAUGUGCUGAAACACACAUCUGAAGGAGGAUUUAGCAGUAAGCAGGAAGUAGAGUGUCCCGCUGAAAUUGGCCCUGAAGCGCGCACACACCGCCCGUCACUCUCCCCGAGCUAAUUUAACUUAAUUAAAUAAUACCCCAACACAGUAAAGGGGAGGCAAGUCGUAACAUGGUAAGUGUACCGGAAGGUGCACUUGGAAAAAU